rnacentral:lncRNA from 1 species
UAUCAGUAGAUCUAUAUAUUUAAUUAUUUUAUUAAUUUUUAAAGCAGUUUUUGUGUUACUAUCUUUACAAUUCAUUAUAUAAUUUAUGAAAUCAUCUGAUUUUUUUAAUUGUUUAUCAAAAAGCUUUUGUUAAAUUAAAAUUUUCUUUUUCUUUAUUGUUUAUGUAUAUUCUCUCAGUACGCAAGAAACCAAAGAUCCCUCCCAAGCCACUUCUUCAUCCUGUAUCUCGUGAACCUAAAAUAUUCAUCGCAGAUGGUUGGUUUUUCUGUAUAAACUAUAAAGUUUCAGAUUGUUAUUAUGCAUGCAGAGAUUUGAAUUUGCUUAUUUAUUUGCAUGUAGAUUGUCAGUCAAUUCUGGUUAAAGAUGAUAAUUAAAAAAAUAAAAG